rnacentral:rRNA from 1 species
UACGUAGGGAGCAAGCGUUGUCCGGAUUUAUUGGGCGUAAAGAGCUCGUAGGCGGUUCCGUAAGUCAGGUGUGAAAAAUCUGGGCUCAACCCAGUGGAGCACCUGAUACUGCGGUGACUCGAGUCCGGUAGGGGAGUGUGGAAUUCCUGGUGUAGCGGUGAAAUGCGUAGAGAUGUGGAGGAACACCGAUGGCGAAGGCAGCCCCCUGGGUCAAGAUUGGACGCUCAUGCACGAAAGCGUGGGGAGCAAACAGG